CCCUGAUUCUUGCAGCUGAGAAGAGAAGGAAAGGUCCGUGGACUUCCAAGGAAAGUUACCUUUCUCCUAAGAGUGAGUCAAAAGAAAAGAUGGUCCUUAAUUGUUCCUCUGAGUUUUGUCAAAUCUAGAUGGGAAGUGGGGGGGAAGCUGCAGUCGUCUUCUCCUCCUGAAGAUGGAGCCGGCUCCAAGGAUGAUGGAGCAGACACAUGAGAACCUUUCCCCUUGAUAAAGGCUGAGGUGCUGAAUCAAAGUUCCCCAAAGGCCACUCUACCGCAGGACUUCCUGUUACAUGGGACCCUGUGAGUCGCCUGGAUGUCAAAGAAUUAAGCCUGUCUUGAAUGAACAGAAGUAACAGGAGUACGGAGAAAAUUUCUUUCUCUUUUCCUGGUCCCAACCGUGAUUCUCUGAUUUGAAUUUGCAGUGGCAGAAAAGAAAGGAGAGGCGAGGCACAGAACGGAAAUCAUAAAAGAAAAGCAUCCCAUCUAGUGCCUUCGAUUCUGGCUGAUCAUUCGGAAAGCCUCCAGGGGGGCCACUGGGGGAAUGAGUAUGACAACAGAUGAAGAGGCUUUGAUAGAUUAGUAAGGGAUUUCAUAAGCUGGAGUAUUAUUAGCUUUGGAGAUUGCAAAAGGCUAGGAGUCCAAAUGAACAAUUUUCCAACAUAAUUUGAACAUUUAUUUCACUGAAGUUAUUAUUCACAACACAAAUCUUCCCCGUUUUCUGAAAACCGAAGGAUACGGUUGCCUGUGUUCAUUGCUGUUUUUAUUUUAUUUUUUUCCCCUCACUCCAAUAAAUGCU